rnacentral:rRNA from 1 species
CCUACGGGAGGCAGCAGUGGGGAAUAUUGCACAAUGGGGGAAACCCUGAUGCAGCGACGCCGCGGGAGUGAAGAGGUAUUUCGGGAGGUAAAGCUCUAUCAGCAGGGAAGAAAAUGACGGUACCUGAAUAAGAAGCCCCGGCGAACUACGGGCCAGCAGCCGCGGGAAUACGUAGGGGGCAAGCGUUCUCCGGAUUUACUGGGUGAAAAGGGAGCGUAGACGGCGCGGCAAGUCUGAAGUGAAAGGCCGGGGCUUAACCCCUGAACUGCUUUGGAAACUGCCAUGCUAGAGUGCUGGAGAGGUACGUGGCCUUCCUCGUGUAGCGGUGAACUGCGUCGAUAUUCGG